rnacentral:tRNA from 1 species
UUGGAUCACCUCCUAACAGGGAGACAAAACAAUGAUUUUGAUGUCUGAGUAAUUUAUUCUUAGGCCAAAAUCCUGUCACUUUAGGUCGAUCGGUACCUCAACUUUGAAGCUAAGAGAGUUCCAGCAAUGGUUGUCUGCUUAGUGGAGAUUUUUAGUUCCUAAACUUUGUCUAGUUCACAACCCAUUAGGGAUGAGACUCCUGGGCCAUUAGCUCAGGUGGUUAGAGCGCACCCCUGAUAAGGGUGAGGUCCCUGGUUCAAGUCCAGGAUGGCCCAUUCGGUGUAGGGGGUUUAACUCAGUUGGUAGAGCGCCUGCUUUGCAAGCAGGAUGUCAGGAGUUCGAGUCUCCUAACCUCCACUGACUACCAAAAUCCCCAUCUCCAAAACCUGGAGUAUGAACUCGUAUGGAUUGUGAUUUAGAUGUGUCCGCUAGAUGACCCUAGCUUCUUGUCAUUUUAAGGCAUGGAAAUGAUUCCAUGAUAUUUAAUUGAUAGGAUGCUGGGCUCGAUGCAAUGUAUUGAGAGAUCAAUGCAUUGUUUUGAUGUCUGGCCGAACCUUGACAACUGCAUAGUAAGUCUGGAAAGAAUAAAGCAUCUUUAUGGAUGCAUCAUUCUUGAGUGUUAAUUCACGAUGGGAUGGUGUUAAUUCUAAGCAAGAGCCGAGACUCCAGCAUGUUCUUUCAAAUGUGUCGAGCAUUUGAGAGUUUGAUUUUAAUUUCUAGUUUUAGAAAUUAGAUGAAUCUGUUUCAACAACAGCAAGCGUGCUGGAGAUACAUUGGUCAAGCUACAAAGGGCUCACGGCGGAUACCUUGGCACACAGAGGCGAUGAAGGA